rnacentral:miRNA from 1 species
ACAGUGAGGUAGAGGGAGUGC